GACGAACGCUGGCGGCGUGCUUAACACAUGCAAGUCGAACGAAGUGGCGAACGGGUGAGUAACGCGUAAUCAACCUGUCCUUCAGAGGGGGACAACAGUUGGAAACGACUGCUAAUACCGCAUACUGAAGGAGGGGAUUGCGUCUGAUUAGCUAGUUGGAGGGGUAACGGCCCACCAAGGCGAUGAUCAGUAGCCGGUCUGAGAGGCAGACCGGCCACGUGGGGACUGAGAUACGGCCCAGACUGCUACGGGAGGCAGAAGUUGGGGAUAUUGCACAAUGGGCGACAGCCUGAUGCAGCGACGCCGCGUGGGGGAUGAAGGCUUUCGGGUUGUAAACCUCUUUCGCUAUCGAACGGGUAGGUGGAGAAGAAGCGCCGGCUAACUACGUGCCAGCAGCCGCGGUAAUUC
rnacentral:rRNA from 1 species